rnacentral:sRNA from 1 species
GCCAGGCAUGGUGGCCCACACCUGUAAUCUCAGCUACUUAGGAGGCUAGGACAAGAGGAUUGCAAGUUCAAGGACUGCCUAGGCAACAUAGAGAUAACCUGUCUUCU